rnacentral:rRNA from 1 species
GACGAACGCUGGCGGCGUGCUUAACACAUGCAAGUCGAACGGAAAGGCCCUGCUUUGGUGGGGUGCUCGAGUGGCGAACGGGUGAGUAACACGUGAGUAACCUGCCCUUGACUUUGGGAUAACUUCAGGAAACUGGGGCUAAUACCGGAUAGGAGCUCCUGCUGCAUGGUGGGGGUUGGAAAGUUUCGGCGGUUGGGUUUGGACUCGCGGCUUAUCAGCUUUUUGGUGGGGGAGUGGCUUACCAAGGCUUUGACGGGUAGCCGGCCUGAGAGGGUGACCGGCCACAUUGGGCCUGAGAUGCGGCCCAGACUCCUACGGGAGGCAGCGGUGGGGAAUAUUGCACGAUGGGCGGAAGCCUGAUGCAGCAACGCCGCGUGCGGGAUGACGGCCUUCGGGUUGUAACCCGCUUUCGCCUGUGACGAAGCGUGAGUGACGGUAAUGGGUAAGGAAGCACCGGCUAACUACGUG